AACUGAGUUUCAUUACAUAACACAAAAUGAGACAAUGAUGAACAAAAAUAUCUGGUUACAGCCUCGUCUUUCGUUACUGUACAAGUCUGUUCUAUGAGAGCAGAGUCACGAGCAAAGUUCAGGUUGAAACUUAGUUUAGGUACAAUACAUGCAUGAUACAAAAUGAGAUUUCUAUAAACAUACUAGAAUUAUAACUUCGACUCUUUUAACAGGACUAGCAAUAGCAUAAUGAUGUUGCUUAUUCGCAAACCCGUUAGUUCCAUAAGCAUCAAUAACGUCUUUUUUCUAUAAGUCUAGUAAAAAAUUGUCACAUACUAAGACGGUUGGUUCCAGUGUUUGAUUUAAUUUCACAUGG